rnacentral:misc_RNA from 1 species
UAGUUGAAGUAAGGAUCGAACUCGUGGAUCACGCUCUCGUACUUGAUAACAGAGAAGAGGCGGAUCGAGAACGCGAGGACGCCGAUGAGGAGCAGGAUGAGAAGGCAGAACAGGUUGCCGUAGGCGGCGCGCUGGCUGCCGGGACUGGCGUCGGCGGCGGCCGCCAUUGCCGGCGAGAUCAAGUCGCUGAUGUCUGGGCGGGGAGGGGAAACGAGAGAUGGGAAUCGG